rnacentral:rRNA from 1 species
GACGAACGCUGGCGGCGUGCUUAACACAUGCAAGUCGAACGGAAAGGCCCAGCUUGCUGGGUGCUCGAGUGGCGAACGGGUGAGUAACACGUGGGUGAUCUGCCCCUAACUUCGGGAUAAGCUUGGGAAACUGGGUCUAAUACCGGAUAGGACAAUCGUUUAGUGUCGGUUGUGGAAAGUUUUUUCGGUUAGGGAUGAGCCCGCGGCCUAUCAGCUUGUUGGUGGGGUAAUGGCCUACCAAGGCGUCGACGGGUAGCCGGCCUGAGAGGGUGGACGGCCACAUUGGGACUGAGAUACGGCCCAGACUCCUACGGGAGGCAGCAGUGGGGAAUAUUGCACAAUGGGCGCAAGCCUGAUGCAGCGACGCCGCGUGGGGGAUGACGGCCUUCGGGUUGUAAACCUCUUUCGACAGGGACGAAGCUUUGGUGACGGUACCUGUAGAAGAAGCACAGGCUAACUACGUG